UACGUAGGUGGCAAGCGUUAUCCGGAUUUACUGGGUGUAAAGGGCGUGUAGGCGGGAGUGCAAGUCAGAUGUGAAAACCACGGGCUCAACCUGUGGCCUGCAUUUGAAACUGUACUUCUUGAGUACUGGAGAGGCAGACGGAAUUCCUAGUGUAGCGGUGAAAUGCGUAGAUAUUAGGAGGAACACCAGUGGCGAAGGCGGUCUGCUGGACAGCAACUGACGCUGAGGCGCGGAAGCGUGGGGAGCAAACAGG
rnacentral:rRNA from 1 species